rnacentral:sRNA from 1 species
AAACAACAACCAUGUUUUUGAAUAUGACUUUCAGAAGAGUAGGGGAUUACUUACUCAUUCUCGCCCCAACCAGUGUUUCAAUCAGGUUGUGAGACCGAAGAAGCAGUGUGGUUCGGUUUGGGGAAGGCCAACCAAGCAUAACUGGAUUGUU